CCCUUAGAUGUUCUGGGCUGCACGCGCGCUACACUGAUGCGUUCAACGAGUUUAUGACCUUGCCCGAUAGGGUUGGGUAAUCCUUUUAAAUCGCAUCGUGAUGGGGAUAGAUUAUUGCAAUUAUUAAUCUUCAACGAGGAAUUCCUAGUAAGCGCGAGUCAUCAGCUCGUGCUGAUUACGUCCCUGCCCUUUGUACACACCGCCCGUCGCACCUACCGAUUGAAUGGUCCGGUGAAGCCUCCGGAUUGGCGCGCACCUCGGUGCCGCCGAGAAGUUGGCUAAACCUUACCAUUUAGAGGAAGGUGAAGUCGUAACA
rnacentral:rRNA from 1 species